GACGUAGGUGGCAAGCGUUGCUCGGAAUCACUGGGCGUAAAGCGCACGUAGGCGGAUUUUUAAGUCAGGGGUGAAAUCCUGGAGCUCAACUCCAGAACUGCCUUUGAUACUGAAGAUCUUGAGUUCGGGAGAGGUGAGUGGAACUGCGAGUGUAGAGGUGAAAUUCGUAGAUAUUCGCAAGAACACCAGUGGCGAAGGCGGCUCACUGGCCCGAUACUGACGCUGAGGCACGAAAGCGUGGGGAGCAAACAGGG
rnacentral:rRNA from 1 species